rnacentral:rRNA from 1 species
GUUGAUCCUGCCGGACCUGACUGCUAUCGGAUUGGCUACUACGCCAUGCGAGUCGUUGUAGCAAUACACGGCCGGACUGCUCACUAACACGUAGUUAACUUAAUCUAUGGAUGGGAAUAACCUCGGGAAACUGAGAAUAAUACCCAAUGGGCCACAGUGCCUGCAAUGGCCUGUGGUUGAAAUGAUUUAUCGCCGUAGGAUAGGACUGCGGCCUAUCAGCUUGUUGGUGAGGUAAUGGCCCACCAAGGCUAUAACAGGUACGGGCUCUGAGAGGAGGGGCCCGGAGAUGGGUACUGAGACACGGACCCAGGCCCUAUGGGGCGCAGCAGGCGAGAAACCUUUGCAAUGUGCGAAAGCACGACAAGGUUAAUCCGAGUGUCUCCUGCUAAAGGAGUCUUUUGUCAGUUGUAGAAUCACUGGUGAAUAAGGGGUGGGCAAGUUCUGGUGUCAGCCGCCGCGGUAAAACCAGCACCUCGAGUGGUCAGGAGGUUUAUUGGGCCUAAAGCAUCCGUAGCCGGUUGCAUAAGUUUUCGGUUAAAUCUAUGCGCUUAACGUAU